UUCGGCCACAUCACUUUGAAAUACCGAUUCACGUACAGUCACUGAAGUUAAGCAACCUCGAGCCAGGUUAGUACCUAAAUGGGUGGCCUGUUGGGAAUACGAGGUGCUGUGA